rnacentral:tRNA from 1 species
GAGGCUUUAGCUUAAUGAAAGUGUCUGAGUUGCAUUCAGGUGAUGUAAAUAAGAGUUUUACAGGUCUUGC